UGGGGAAUUUUGGACAAUGGGCGAAAGCCUGAUCCAGCAAUGCCGCGUGUGUGAAGAAGGCCUUCGGGUUGUAAAGCACUUUUGUCCGGAAAGAAAUCCUUGGCUCUAAUACAGUCGGGGGAUGACGGUACCGGAAGAAUAAGCACCGGCUAACUACGUGCCAGCAGCCGCGGUAAUACGUAGGGUGCAAGCGUUAAUCGGAAUUACUGGGCGUAAAGCGUGCGCAGGCGGUUUGCUAAGACCGAUGUGAAAUCCCCGGGCUCAACCUGGGAACUGCAUUGGUGACUGGCAGGCUAGAGUAUGGCAGAGGGGGGUAGAAUUCCACGUGUAGCAGUGAAAUGCGUAGAGAUGUGGAGGAAUACCGAUGGCGAAGGCAGCCCCCUGGGCCAAUACUGACGCUCAUGCACGAAAAGGCGUGGGGGAGCAAAACAGGAUUAGAUACCCCUGGGUAGUCCACGCCCUAAAACGAUGUCAACUAGUUGUUGGGGAUUCAUUUCCUUAGUAACGUAGCUAACGCGUGAAGUUGACCGCCUGGGGAGUACGGUCGCAAGAUUAAAACUCAAAUGGAAUUGACGGGGUCAUAGCUGUUUCCU
rnacentral:rRNA from 1 species